AGAGAGGACACUGUCCCUGGGUUGGAAGGCCUCCUCCUCAGUAGGAGACAGUAGGACUUCAGCACCACCCAGUGACAGCAGAGCCACAGAGGGCCUGCUGGGAGGAGUUAGCGCAGGGAGAGGAUGGGAGAAACCCCUGGUUUCUUCUCGCUCCCCUUUCUUUCCCAUUAACCAAACACAGACUGAAUCCAGCUGAGGGGGGACCAUGAAAAACUUCACGGAAGGCCUGCCUUUCUGCAGCACAGGGCAGGAAAAUCCAGAGGAACAGAUCUGAGAACCAGCAGCCACGGGAUCUCUCUACACAAGACUGGCUGUGCUGCAAAUCAUUAUGUGGACCAGCCUGACCUUGAACUUGCGGAGUUGCCUUCUGUCUGCCUCUCCUUCCUGAGUGCUGGGAUGAAAGAAAUGAAGUCAAACAGGAGCCUUACUCUAAGGAGUACAUGAUCUCCGCCUCCACGCAUGAAGACACGGAAGGGCAAGUGGAAUCUAUGCGGCACAGAGAGGAGGUGAGCGGUUAUCCGAGGAUGAGAUGUCUCCAGGUCUUGGCAUAAAUGAAGACUCUUCCCAUGGCCUGAACAUCUUUCUUCCAUCCUUCAAAGCCAUUGCUACACGGCAGCUCCCGGAUCAACGUGUUCCUCAUGGGAGUGAAUAAACAUCUCUGAGUCAGGAGGAGUGGAAAAAAUUCGCCCAAGAUUUACCCACAAAUUGGCUCUGAGAAAGCACCCCAGAACACUCCCAAAGCAUUUGUGCCAGGUUCCCUGGGCUGCUGGGUUUACUUGAGAAAUCAUAAAAUGACUUUUGUGUGUUUAUUCUUUGACAAUUUUAUACACAAAUGCAAUGCACCCCGGUCAAA
rnacentral:lncRNA from 1 species